rnacentral:siRNA from 1 species
GAUGUGUCUAUGUGUUACUUCCU